UAAGGCUGAGCUGUGAUGGGGAGAAGACAUUGUGUCUUCGAGUCGUUGAUUUCACACUGCCGAGAAAAGCCUCUAGAUAGAAAAUAGGUGCCCGUACCGCAAACCGACACAGGUAGUCAAGAUGAGAAUUCUAAGGUGAGCGAGCGAACUCUCGUUAAGGAACUCGGCAAAAUGACCCCGUAACUUCGGGAGAAGGGGUGCUCUUUAGGGUUAACGCCCAGAAGAGCCGCAGUGAAUAGGCCCAAGCGACUGUUUAUCAAAAACACAGGUCUCUGCUAAACCGUAAGGUGAUGUAUAGGGGCUGACGCCUGCCCGGUGCUGGAAGGUUAAGAGGAGUGGUUAGCUUCUGCGAAGCUACGAAUCGAAGCCCCAGUAAACGGCGGCCGUAACUAUAACGGUCCUAAGGUAGCGAAAUUCCUUGUCGGGUAAGUUCCGACCCGCACGAAAGGCGUAACGAUUUGGGCACUGUCUCAACGAGAGACUCGGUGAAAUCAUAGUACCUGUGAAGAUGCAGGUUACCCGCGACAGGACGGAAAGACCCCGUGGAGCUUUACUGUAGCCUGAUAUUGAAAUUCGGCACAGCUUGUACAGGAUAGGUAGGAGCCUUUGAAACGUGAGCGCUAGCUUACGUGGAGGCGCUGGUGGGAUACUACCCUAGCUGUGUUGGCUUUCUAACCCGCACCACUUAUCGUGGUGGGAGACAGUGUCAGGCGGGCAGUUUGACUGGGGCGGUCGCCUCCUAAAAGGUAACGGAGGCGCUCAAAGGUUCCCUCAGAAUGGUUGGAAAUCAUUCAUAGAGUGUAAAGGCAUAAGGGAGCUUGACUGCGAGACCUACAAGUCGAGCAGGGUCGAAAGACGGACUUAGUGAUCCGGUGGUUCCGCAUGGAAGGGCCAUCGCUCAACGGAUAAAAGCUACCCCGGGGAUAACAGGCUUAUCUCCCCCAAGAGUUCACAUCGACGGGGAGGUUUGGCACCUCGAUGUCGGCUCAUCGCAUCCUGGGGCUGUAGUCGGUCCCAAGGGUUGGGCUGUUCGCCCAUUAAAGCGGUACGCGAGCUGGGUUCAGAACGUCGUGAGACAGUUCGGUCCCUAUCCGUCGUGGGCGUAGGAAAUUUGAGAGGAGCUGUCCUUAGUACGAGAGGACCGGGAUGGACAUACCUCUGGUGUACCAGUUGUCGUGCCAACGGCAUAGCUGGGUAGCUAUGUGUGGACGGGAUAAGUGCUGAAAGCAUCUAAGCAUGAAGCCCCCCUCAAGAUGAGAUUUCCCAACUUCGGUUAUAAGAUCCCUCAAAGAUGAUGAGGUUAAUAGGUUCGAGGUGGAAGCAUGGUGACAUGUGGAGCUGACGAAUACUAA
rnacentral:rRNA from 1 species